UGUACUCAGUUUGCAGCAGUCACAGUACCUUGAUGGAACCCAGGUUCUCCAGAAGCUGUUCUGUGUUUGAGACUCCGAGAAGAACCGAGCUGACACCUUCAGAACGAAGACACCACGCUGAGAUGCAGACAGUUCUGGCAGGUGCAGCUCCACUUUGUCUCUCUGGAAGUAAUGAUACUCAGCCUGCUCACACACCGGAGGAACCAGGUUGAACUGUCUCGCUAUGGAGUACGCCUCCUGACACAGUCAGACAGACAGGCCAGACAGACAGACAGCGUUCCAGCGGGACGUUCCCCAGUACAUGGCCAUACCCUGAUCGAUCACGAAGGUCAUCGCACGGACCACUUCUGUAAACAUCCACAAACAAACAGGAAGUGUUAGC